GACAGAGGGUGCAAACGUUGUUCGGAAUUACUGGGCGUAAAGCGAGUGUAGGCGGUUUCCUAAGUCAGGUGUGAAAGCCCCGGGCUCAACCCGGGAAGUGCACUUGAAACUGGCAGGCUAGAGUACUGGAGAGGUUGGUGGAAUUCUCGGUGUAGAGGUGAAAUUCGUAGAUAUCGAGAGGAACACCGGUGGCGAAGGCGGCCAACUGGACAGAUACUGACGCUGAGACACGAAAGCGUGGGGAGCAAACAGG
rnacentral:rRNA from 1 species